rnacentral:lncRNA from 1 species
CAGGAUAGUUCUACUUAAUUUUUUCUACRUCUUUUUCUCAAAGUCUCCCCCACCCCCCCACCACCACUGUGUCUGCAUUGUUUCUUACUCUCUGUCAUUGUUCCACCCUUGCUUGUAGGUGUUGGCCAGCAUGCAGAUGAGCAGAGCUGUCAGCUACAAGGUGGUUAGUGCCUCACAGUGGUCAGCAUGAGGAGGAACUGCAUCUCUUGAUUUGCUCUCUGGUGUCUGCUGAUCGAGGUUUGUUGGAGGAUGGGAUAUAUCUGUGACGUCUUUCUGCUAGAAACAUUGGGAACACAUGGCUGUGAGGUCAAUUCUGCCCUGACUGUAAUGAUGGCAGCUGCUUGGAGCUUUAGUUCUCAUUUCCGUAUUCCAUCUGACUUGAAGAGUUUAAGAUCAAUGGCAGUUUUGUAAUGUCUCCAGAAAAAAUAUAUUGAAACAGAGAAAGGGGUUACAUAACUAUUUCAACAGGGAAAUGUACAAUUUUUCUGUGGAUGCUGGUGGCUUAUUGAUUCUUAUUAAUUUUUCUUGAUAUUGGUAAGUAG